GCAAAACGCGAAGAACCUUACCUGGUCUUGACAUAGUAAGAACUUUCCAGAGAUGGAUUGGUGCCUUCGGGAACUUACAUACAGGUGCUGCAUGGCUGUCGUCAGCUCGUGUCGUGAGGUGUUGGGUUAAGUCCCGCAACGAGCGCAACCCUUUUCCUUAUUUGCCAGCGGGUUAAGCCGGGAACUUUAAGGAUACUGCCAGUGACAAACUGGAGGAAGGCGGGGACGACGUCAAGUCAUCAUGGCCCUUACGACCAGGGCUACACACGUGCUACAAUGGUCGGUACAAAGGGUUGCUACCUCGCGAGAGGAUGCUAAUCUCAAAAAGCCGAUCGUAGUCCGGAUUGGAGUCUGCAACUCGACUCCAUGAAGUCGGAAUCGCUAGUAAUCGCGGAUCAGAAUGCCGCGGUGAAUACGUUCCCGGGUCUUGUACACACCG
rnacentral:rRNA from 1 species